UACGUAGGGGGCAAGCGUUGUCCGGAUUUAUUGGGCGUAAAGAGCGUGUAGGCGGCUAUACAGGUCCGCUGUGAAAACUCGAGGCUCAACCUCGAGACGUCGGUGGAAACCGUAUGGCUAGAGUCCGGAAGAGGAGAGUGGAAUUCCUGGUGUAGCGGUGAAAUGCGCAGAUAUCAGGAAGAACACCCGUGGCGAAGGCGGCUCUCUGGGACGGUACUGACACUGAGGAGCGAAAGCCAGGGGAGCAAACGGG
rnacentral:rRNA from 1 species